rnacentral:rRNA from 1 species
AUUGAACGCUGGCGGCAGGCCUAACACAUGCAAGUCGAACGGUAACAGGAAGAAGCUUGCUUCUUUGCUGACGAGUGGCGGACGGGUGAGUAAUGUCUGGGAAACUGCCUGAUGGAGGGGGAUAACUACUGGAAACGGUAGCUAAUACCGCAUAACGUCGCAAGACCAAAGAGGGGGACCUUCGGGCCUCUUGCCAUUGGAUGUGCCCAGAUGGGAUUAGCUAGUAGGUGGGGUAACGGCUCACCUAGGCGACGAUCCCUAGCUGGUCUGAGAGGAUGACCAGCCACACUGGAACUGAGACACGGUCCAGACUCCUACGGGAGGCAGCAGUGGGGAAUAUUGCACAAUGGGCGCAAGCCUGAUGCAGCCAUGCCGCGUGUAUGAAGAAGGCCUUCGGGUUGUAAAGUACUUUCAGCGGGGAGGAAGGGAGUAAAGUUAAUACCUUUGCUCAUUGACGUUACCCGCAGAAGAAGCACCGGCUAACUCCGUG